GAACCAUCUCACCACAUCCUCCUUCCUCGCCUUCUUCUCAGCCUCCUUCUCCACCUCCCGUUCCCCCCGACCCAGCUAACCUAAACCCUAACUCAUCUCCGAUUGAACCCACCUCUCUCAAUUCGCCGCCGCCGCUUCCACCUCCAUCCUCCAUAAAGGAUUUUGGGUUAGGGUUACUGGACGGCUAUGACGAGUUUCCUCUCAUGAGCUUUCUUCGAUCCUGUUCAAGAGGGACUAUUUGAAGAUCUCAAAGCUGACAGGACAGAAGACGACCAGGUUAGGCUGUUCCGGCCUGACGAAAACGCUCUUAGUAUGCAAACAUGUGCUGAUAGGCUUUGUAUGACACCACCUUCUGUGGAGC